rnacentral:tRNA from 1 species
UGGAAUGUAGCUCAGUGGUUUAAGCACUUGCCUCACAUGUGUGAAUCCCUGGGUUCAAUCCCCAGCUCCAG